rfam:Dipodomys ordii contig_71953, whole genome shotgun sequence.
GAAUGUGAAGGAGAUCUGGCUGUGAUGUCUCUCACUCCAUUGAUCACCAGCAUUGAUUUGACUGAUCUGGCUGGUUAGGAAGGUGUUCCCCUCUUCCCUCACCACUCCGUGUGCAUCCCUCCCAAGGCUGUGCACCUCUCCCAAAGCUGUGGGUUUGGCCAACGAGGACAACCAUCCCUGAUAAAGGAGGACCCAUCUUCUGUCAAGGGUAUGUGAAUAACUGAGCUCCCCUGCUAGAACCUCCAAACAAGCUCCCAAAGUUGUAUAAUGCCACCCUUGAGCAAAAGAACUCAAGGUCCUGCAUCCAACAACAACAACAAAAAAUCGAUUUGGAAAUCCCUGUGGCAAUGUCCAGGCAAC